UGGAAACGAACGCUAAUACCGCAUAACAUGAGAGAACGGCAUCGUUCUUUCAUCAAAGAUUUUAUCGCUGAGAGAUGGGCUCGCGGCCGAUUAGGUAGUUGGUGAGAUAACGGCCCACCAAGGCGACGAUCAGUAGCCGACCUGAGAGGGUGACCGGCCACAUUGGGACUGAGACACGGCCCAAACUCCUACGGGAGGCAGCAGUGGGGAAUAUUGCACAAUGGGGGAAACCCUGAUGCAGCGACGCCGCGUGAGCGAAGAAGUAUUUCGGUAUGUAAAGCUCUAUCAGCAGGGAAGAAACUGACGGUACCUGACUAAGAAGCACCGGCUAAAUACGUGCCAGCAGCCGCGGUAAUACGUAUGGUGCAAGCGUUAUCCGGAUUUACUGGGUGUAAAGGGAGCGUAGACGGAUAGGCAAGUCUGGAGUGAAAGCCCGGGGCUCAACCCCGGGACUGCUUUGGAAACUGUUUAUCUAGAGUGCUGGAGAGGUAAGUGGAAUUCCUAGUGUAGCGGUGAAAUGCGUAGAUAUUAGGAGGAACACCAGUGGCGAAGGCGGCUUACUGGACAGUAACUGACGUUGAGGCUCGAAAGCGUGGGGAGCAAACAGGAUUAGAUACCCUGGUAGUCCACGCCGUAAACGAUGACUGCUAGGUGUCGGGUGGCAAAGCCAUUCGGUGCCGCAGCAAAC
rnacentral:rRNA from 1 species